rnacentral:misc_RNA from 1 species
AACGCACAUUGCGCCCUUUGGUAUUCCGAAGGGCAUGCCUGUUCGAGCGUCAUUACAACCACUCAAGCUCUCGCUUGGUAUUGAGGCCCGCGACCCCGCGGCCCCUAAAAUCAGUGGCGGUGCCUGUCGGCUCUACGCGUAGUAAUACUCCUCGCGUCUGGGUCCGGUAGGUUGCCUGCCAGCAACCCCCCAUUUUUACAGGUUGACCUCGGAUCAGGUAGGGAUACCCGCUGAACUUAA